UUUUGGUAUAUUUUCGUCAUCUAAUAAAUCAAAUUUAAUGAUAAUUUUCACAAUGAAAAUUAUUGUCAAAUAAUCUCCAAAAGCAAAUUCUCUAGAAAACUUUUUCAUUCAACUAGCCCAAGGUGUCCACUAAUUGAUGCUAAAUGCCCUAACGGCAAACAUAUCAAAUAUGUUUCCUAUUUCUACGAAAAUCAACGCUGCUUGCUAUUGACUGAUAGAUUUCGACUCUUAAUCGCUAGGAGCUCUGUACUCGUAUUUAUCAGGGUGAUCAUUUCUGCGUUUUAAAAUUGUGUUUCCGAGUCCUGAAAAUUUUUCGGAUCAUUGUCGAUGUAAUUCAAAUAAUUUUUAAUCAAAUAUGUAUUACUAAAUAUUCUUUGAAUAUUAUAUUUCUAUUAUUCAAUAAAAAUAAUACAACCAGAA